rnacentral:tRNA from 1 species
AUGGAUGUAGCUCAGUGGAUAGAGCGUACGCAGGCGCAUCAGGCCGUCGGUGCAAUUCCGACCAUUCGUG